AACGAACGCUGGCGGCAUGCCUAACACAUGCAAGUCGAACGAGACCUUCGGGUCUAGUGGCGCACGGGUGCGUAACGCGUGGGAACCUGCACUUAGGUUCGGAAUAACUCCCCGAAAGGGGUGCUAAUACCGGAUAAUGUCUUCGGACCAAAGAUUUAUCGCCUUUGGAUGGGCCCGCGUUGGAUUAGCUAGUUGGUAGGGUAAAAGCCUACCAAGGCGACGAUCCAUAGCUGGUCUGAGAGGAUGAUCAGCCACACUGGGACUGGGACACGGCCCAGACUCCUACGGGAGGCAGCAGUGGGGAAUAGUGGACAAUGGGCGAAAGCCUGAUCCAGCAAUGCCGCGUGAGUGAUGAAGGCCUUAGGGUUGUAAAGCUCUUUUACCCGGGAUGAUAAUGACAGUACCGGGAGAAUAAGCUCCGGCUAACUCCGUG
rnacentral:rRNA from 1 species